UUUCCCGUGAGCGUCAUGAGACGUUGGUCAGCACCUGUCUGGAUACUCGAGCGUUUUUUGAGCGCAUGCUACCGCAAAUUAUUGUGACACCACGUAUGUAUCACAGAUGGACGAAGAACUUGUAAUUCUUCUACUUCUCAUUCGUCGUCGUAGGCGUAGAGCUAGAGAAUCUCAACAACGGCAAAUGUGAGUCAGACCAAUCCUAUAGCGAAGGCGGCAGGUCUUUGCAUUCAUGCACGCGUCAAAGACAAGGAUAACUCUGCACGCUGUCGAUUAGACACUCCAUGCCAAAUCCGGGAUUUAAUAGGACUGUUCUUUGAUUUGUAGAAAGUAAUCACGUGAUUUCCGGUUACGUUGGUACACUUCCGGAAUCGACGCUAGAGUUGAACUUCAGUCAACUCCAGCGUCAAGGACGCUGCGACGAUCGUCGUCGACGUUGACAUGUUCACAAUAUGACGCUCACGCUAGCGUCAUCGUCAGUGUCAUCGUCAACGUCAGCGUGGUAUUGUGAACCGGGCUUUAGUUGGUGGUGAAUCUCUUCACAAAGAGGUAGCAGUGCCAAUGAUUUACACAUUUAUAGCAGGUUGAUGUUAUUCCUGAUGGGUCAAUGGUGACUAUGGACUAUGACAUUAAUCGUGUCAGGAUCUUUGUUGACAAGACAGGAGUUGUGGUGAAAGCUCCUGUUGUGGGAUGAAUUCGAUAUUCACGAAGACCUAGAAGUUUCUCUUUUUGUAACUUUUUAUUCAAUUGCAUUUGCUUUGCCAUUACACACAAUAUUGAGAAGUUGAAAAGUUGCUGUUGUUCUAAGUUCUUUUGAAAUGCAUUUGUCAUGCCAUGGAAUGCAAUAUUGAGAAAAUCUUGUGUACAUUGCAACAAGUGCUUUUUCAUCUUAGGUAUAUAAAUAUAAAUGACUCUACUGAAA